UGAACCAUUGAUAUUGUCGAUUUUCUUCAAUGCUUGAAGGAAUGGCCGCCAAUCCAACCCUACUAAAUUGUAAAGCUCAUUUUAUAGCUAUUUCUUGUUGUAGACCCAUUGAAGUUCAAUUUUUUAAAGAAAUGGAAUAAACUCCCCCAAUACCUGAGGUUUUUGGUCUUUAAAUGCUGUUAAAAAUCUUCAAUCUCUAAAAAAAAAAAGCGAUAUUUUAAUACUGAAGGCAAAAAGAAAUGACAUUUUUUUCCCCUAAAAAUGUAAAUCAACUACUUGCAAGUACAAAAAUACACUGUUUAUUCAAUCAUAUCUGUAUGUGAAGGCCCCCCUGUUGUAAAUAAAUCAAGUUUUCCAUUUCGCGGUUUGUUUGCGGAAUUCGUUUAUCCGUUGGUUGUCGCGCUAAACAGGUCGCAUAUUCCCAUUCUCAACACUAUUUCAAGUAUGGAAGAAAAUAGGGCAAUAUCAUUGGUUUGCACCGUAGCGCACUCUGUUAAGAGUGUAUGACGUCAUUGUAUGCGAACUUGGAAAUAGUUUCAGUUCGUAUUGCUCGGACUAUACGUAAGAAUUUCUGAAAAGCGGAUUUAUCUUUGGGCUUUAUUGUGUGAUUCCUCUCUAUAUUUUUUUUACCUUUUGUUUCCGGAUUAAAUGGAUUUAUCUGAGCAUAUUACUAUAACAGCCGAGAAUUUGUCUUCGAAUUUCGAAAAUGAAAACAAUGAAAUAAUUUAGUAGCUAAAACUUCAAAUUCAUGGAUGAUAUCAACGAAUGGAUAAAAGAAUUUUGAAAAUCAACUAAAGUGUUUUUUAUUGGCAUUGUUGCCGGAAGAGAUUUGUAUGGGGACAUUCAAUAAGGUGCCAUUUACACAGAAGAAGGGAAUGAAUAAGAAGGGAAUUUUUAAAAAAAAUGCUGAAUGCCUUCCCUUUUUUAUGAUGAAGAUAAAACUAAAUACUACACACAUGAGAACUUAAGAUGAUUUUCUAAAAGUGUGUAAUAAAGAAAUGGACAUAAAACCGUCGGUCAUAGGAUGUGGGCAGCCAAUUCCUGCCCGUGGAUCAAACCUCCGCAGACAGUCUCAAAUGCCGAGUAAUAAUCAAAUUGUUAUCUCCAAUGUUUUCCAACCUUUUGGAGUAGAUUAUGAAUGGGAAAGAAAUUUAGAUUUGGCUGCUGAUGUCUGUGUCUAUACAGAGGAUGAUUCGGAUUCUGAACUAUAUGAGGGCGUUAACGAAGAACCAGCCAUUCCGAUGAUAUUGAACUCCGCCGGUAAUGAAGAAAGCCCAGACAUUGAAACUUUUUAUCCCUGCGGCUGUGAAACAAGACUAAAUUUGUGCAGUGAAAUGGAGUUAAACUGCCAGCGAGCAUUUGGAUUGAUGAAGAUUUUAGAAAUCGCAGAGUAUGCCGCAAAGAGAGCUACAAUUAUCGAAAAUGAGAACAGAGAUAAUGGAGUUAGUAAUUUAACCGGAUGCAGUUUGGAAAGACACCUACGUGCAAACCUGUGGUUGGGUAACGUCUGCCCUAAUAACAGAUGCUUAAAACGCUUCCAAGUGAGUGUUUCCCAGUUUCUGGCUGGAAAAUGUGAACAAUAACUUCUAAAAGCUGUCUAAUUCUUUUCCAUGACAUUGUGCCUGGAUUUCAGGAAUGAGAUGUGCUAUCUUCAGUACUACAAUAAUCUUCAUACAAGAUGGUGCUCUGCUCCAUGUUGCAAGUUCAGAGGAGGCAUUCCAUUUGUGUAUUUUUGGUAAAGAACGAAUGAUAUGUAGAUUCUGUAGAAGCAAGUGCUCUCCCUUUUUCCCCUGUCAUCAAUUGUAGUUUUUCCGGUAGAUUUGUAGCUGGGUGUCAAUUAAAAACCUUGUGUAACAUUACUGUCUUAUCACAAUGAUAAAUGUAGGCAGGCAGGACUUGGAUGAAAUCUACCAGAUAUGCUACACUUAUCUAUCACAGCGAUUAUUCAACUAGCUGAGCGUUUAGCAAUUAGAGCUAAAAAAUCUGCUGAAAGAAGAAUCACUACGAUAAGACGU